rnacentral:rRNA from 1 species
CUCAGAACUUAAAGGAAUGACGGGGCCGCACAAGCGGUGGAGCAUGUGGUUUAAUUCGAUGAUACGCGAGGAACCGUUACCUGGGCUCAAAUGUAUGUUGACGUAUUCUGAAAGGGAUACUUCUUCGGACAAUAUACAAGGUGCUGCAUGGUUGUCGUCAGCUCGUGCCGUGAGGUGUCGGGUUAAGUCCCAUAACGAGCGCAACCCCUAUCAUUAGUUGCCAUCAGGUCAAGCUGGGGACUCUAAUGAAACUGCCUACGCAAGUAGUGAGGAAGGUGGGGAUGACGUCAAAUCAGCACGGCCCUUACGUCCAGGGCUACACACGUGCUACAAUGGCCGAUACAGAGGGCAGCUACCUGGUGACAGGAUGCAAAUCUCCAAAGUCGGUCUCAGUUCGGAUCGGAGUCUGCAACCCGACUCCGUGAAGUUGGAUUCGCUAGUAAUCGCGCAUCAGCCAUGGCGCGGUGAAUACGUUCCCGGGCCUU